UGGGACUGUGAGGUCCAUGAUCCAAAAGGCCAUCUUUGUUUCUCCCCUGUGCCUGGCAUACAACAGCUCUGGCUCCCACUCCUCUGCCCAGGGCACAGCUUUCACCACCUGAUGCUUGCGUUGGAACCACAGCUUUUUACUAGCAGCUGACAGGGAUUACUUUUCAAAUGGAUACUCCUCUGAGCGGGUUUGCAUUUGGGAUGCCCCCAAAUUCACCUGCUCCCUCUGGCCGCCUCUUGCUAACCGCCAACCCAGAAGCAUUUGUGUGGAAAGAGCGGAGUGUGCUGCCUGUGGUCGGAGACAGAAAUGUAUCCUCGGCGCCAAAGAAAAUUGACAGCGUGGCACAACAAAGCGUCCUGAUUCAGCACAGCGGGUACAAGACUGAGAGACACUCCUGACUUAAGGACAGGCCACAAAACAGCACGUCCGGGAGGAGGUGAGAAGUGU